AGUGAACGCUGGCGGUAGGCCUAACACAUGCAAGUCGAACGGCAGCACAGUAAGAGCUUGCUCUUACGGGUGGCGAGUGGCGGACGGGUGAGGAAUACAUCGGAAUCUACUUUUUCGUGGGGGAUAACGUAGGGAAACUUACGCUAAUACCGCAUACGACCUACGGGUGAAAGCAGGGGAUCUUCGGACCUUGCGCGAUUGAAUGAGCCGAUGUCGGAUUGGCUAGUUGGGGGGGUAAAGGCCCACCAAGGCGACGAUCCGUAGCUGGUCUGAGAGGAUGAUCCGCCACACUGGAACUGAGACACGGUCCAGACUCCGACGGGAGGCAGCAGUGGGGAAUAUUGGACAAUGGGCGCAAGCCUGAUCCAGCCAUACCGCGUGGGUGAAGAAGGCCUUCGGGUUGUAAAGCCCUUUUGUUGGGAAAGAAAAGCAGCAGGUUAAUACCCCGCUGUUCUGACGGUACCCAAAGAAUAAGCACCGGCUAACUUCGUG
rnacentral:rRNA from 1 species